UAUACUUAUGAUUUAAUUCAGUGGUUCAAUCUUCCACGGAUCCAGCAUCCUUUUCCCUCCCACCGCUGCCACGCUCUUUGAUCCUACGUUCUGCUUUUCGCUACUGCGAGGAGAGGGGGGGGGGAGGUUAGCCUGACACUCCGCGAAGCUGAAAGAUUCACCUGUUAGGCGAUCGACCUUAUACGAUGAGAUUUGGAAAUUCUAAGCAGAGUAAUAGCAUUGGGAGGCCCGCUUAUAUGGCCUAAAUACACACACACACACACACACACAUAUAUAUAUAUAUAUAUAUAUACACACAUAUAUAUAUAUAUAAAAAUACAUAUAUAUAUACAAACAUACAUACAUAUCCAAACAUAUAUAAAAACCGACUGAAGAGGAAAUCUGCUGCGAAUGGUCCAUUCUGUCCUGUAUGCCGUUUAUUAGGUUAUCGUCUAUUUUCCGUAUGUUGUGUUUUGUUUGAUUUCCAUGUGUUCUAUAUAUAUAUAUAUAUAUAUAUAUAUAUAUGCAUGCAUAUAUACAUACAUACACAUACGCGUAUAAAUGCAUAUAUAGCUACAUAUAUAUAUACAUGUAUACAUGUAUACAUGCAUACAUAUAUACAGAUAGAUAGAUAGAUAGAUAGAUAGAUAGAUAGAUAGAUAGAUAGAUAGAUAGAUAGAUAGAUAGAUAGAUAGAUAUAAAUAUAUCGUCAGUGGAUCAUACAUUCAAAACAGGGUGAAUGUGACACAAUUGAUCACUCUAUGAUCGGGCAUCGAUGUCUUUUUUUUUUUUUUUCUACGAGAGUUCCAGACUCCAGUUAGGAGCUCAUUUGCAUACAACCAAUCAUAGCUCAAUUGCAAACUAAUGUAUGAGCGCAAAGCAAGUGGUGGGUGAUAAGAUAAGGUCUCUUGGGUAAAGAACGAUCAUGUAUAUUUUCUCUUUUAAUAAUGCUAGUUGUAAGGUGGCGAGCUGGCAGAAACGUUAGCACGCCGGACGAAAUGCUUAGCGGUAUUUCGUCUGCGUUACGUUGUGAGUUCAAAUUCCGCCGAGGUCGACUUUGCCUUUCAUCCUUUCGGGGUCGAUAAAUUAAGUACCAGUUACGCACUGGGGUCGAUGUAAUCGACUUAAUACCUAUGUCUGUCCUUGUUUGUCCGCUCUAUGUUUAGCCCCUUGUGGGUAAUAAAGAAAUAGGUAUUUCGUCUGCCCCUACAUUCUGAGUUCAAAUUCUGCCGAGGUCGACUUUGCCUUUCAUCCUUUCGGGGUCGAUUAAAUAAGUACCAGUUACGCACUGGGGUCGAUAUAAUCGACUUAAUCCGUUUGUCUGUUCAUGUUUGUCCGCUCUACCCUUGUGGGUAGUAAAGAAAUAGGUAUUUCGUCUGUCUUUAUGUUCUGAGUUCAAAUUCUACCGACGUCGACUUUGCCUUUCAUCCUUUCGGGGUCGACUGUGCCUAGAGUAGAAAAGAAUAACGCGUGUUGUUCUUGUUCUUGUUUGAACCAUGGCUGCCUCUGUGUUGUUAUUUGUGUUGUUGUUUGCUUUGUAAAGCAGUAAGGGGAGAGGGUUGCCAGCACAUCACACUCUACCCACAUUUUCCCCAUCCACAUCUUUACCUUAUGGGACCCUAACAAAAUCCGAUAACUGGUAUAGAUGCAAAUCUAUCCAAUUCCUUGUCUCCUUCUAAAAUCAGACGUAACUUGGCGUUCCGUCCACUUACAACACCGUUCUUCGUCUUGAGUUUACUUGGUAGAGCGUGUUUGUUAACUUGACAUCAAGGUCAAGGUGAGCUCUGAUUGGUUGUAUGCAAAUGAGGUCAUUACUGGGGUGCUGUAAAAAUAUACAUACAUACAUACAUACAUACAUACAUACAGACAGACAGACAGACAGACAGACAGACAGACAGAGUCAUCAGAUGAGAUCCAGAGACGUUCAAUAUAGAAAACACGUAGUAGAGCUCAAAUGAUUUGAACUUACACUCCCAAUUCUUUAUCGGGGAUUCUGUUAUAUAUAUGUUAUAUAUAUAUAUAUAUAUAUAUAUAUAUAUAUAUAUAUAUAUAUAUAUAUAUAUAUAUAUAUAUAUAUAUAUAUAUAUGCAUAUGUAUGUGUGUGUGUGUGUAUUCUUAUAAUGUUUGUGUAGAAGUCCUCUUCUCGGUCACAAUGUCCAGCGUCCGUUCCCAGUGCGUGGCAUCUUUCUGUAGCCUGGGAUUGAGCCAUGCCUUGUAAAUGAAACUGAGUCGAGCUGAAACUAUACUCGUCGAUCGGAUAAAUUGCAUCUGAGAUUAAAGGAAACAGUCUUGUCAUACUGUGUCACGCUGACACAGUUUCGGAACUAUAAUAUAGGGGCUACGCGUGUCACCCUAAUGUCCGCUUAUUCAAGGAACUUGGUAUUUCCGUCAACUGUACAACUGAAAAAACUCCUGGACGGAAAUUCUGACAUCUUUUUACAUAUGUGCGGGCGUGUUUGUAAGUCUAUGUUAUAAACAAUAUACAUGACCACGCGCGUGGGUGUGAGAUAAACUAACACCCUUCGAGGUAGUCCAAUAUUAAACUCACCGAAUAAAUAAAAGAAUAUUCCUUUCCUUUCGUUGGUUUCAGAAAUUGUACAACUGCCCAGCUGGGGCCACAGCUUCCGUUCAAAUCGAUUCCCGUACCAAUAUCAGUAUGCUAUUUGGUUUAUCGCUUUACCGAUACUAUUUUCCGAAUUGUCAAGAUACAGGACAGAAAAGGAUACAGUAAACAACAAAUCAUCAUGAUUAACUCCGUUUAAAAAGAACUGAUACCUUUAAUAUACACCUGAAAAUAGAGUACCAUCAACCCUUCUAUUGUCUGGCAAGAUACUAACAAAGUUUUGAUUGUGACAUAUUAGUUUGAUUAUAAAUUAAAUUUUCUUCAGGGACUUAGCUCUUGGCCAAACCUCACAAAUAUAUUAAAGACAUCCUAUUUCAUGUUUGUUUUUUAAUUUAUAUAUUUAACACUCUAUAAGAGUAAUAUAAACAAAAUUACUUCUAUGCUUACAGGACAACGUAUAAAAUGCGUAUGUUAAAAACCAUUUUUUUUUCCUAUGAAACAAAAAUACUUCAUAAUUUCCAUGUAUAAUAUAAUAAAUCCAGUGCGGGACAAAGUCAUUCUUUUGGCAGUCAAAGCACUGGUUUCAUGGUUAAUCCUACCCAGUGGCGUUGCUAAUAAAGGAGCAAGUGGUGCGACCUGUCCCCGCGAAAACAUUUUUUCAAAAAUUGUCGUCUUUCAACAAUUUUUUAAAACUCAGCGAUAAAAGUCGAAUUUUUUGUUUUUUGUUUUGUUUUUUGUUAAUUACAAGGCCCUGGAAGAACUUUCUGGAAUCAUUACUCUACUUGACCAACCACCUGUGUUUUUGAUCUGCUCAAUCUCCUGUGCUGUGUUUGUAGCUGUUGACAUCUGAAGAACCAAAACAAACCCCGACGUCAUAAUCUCUCGACGCUUGACGAUCCCAUGCAGUUAGGCCAUUUUCAAGUCACCCCUAGAUCAGUGGUUGUCAGUUUCAUACAUAACCAUAUAAUGUUGCUGAAACAUGAAAUUAAUGAAACUAGACCACAAUUACGUAUUUUAAGACUACUGAAAUAUUUCGCGUAUUAUAAAAAGGAAUUAGUUUAAAAAUUUGUUUGGUACGUUCCACAGCACCAUUUUUUAUGCGCUGGUUCUCACUAACUGUAGAACUUAGAUACACCUCUGAUCCUACCCUGCAUAUAUAUAUAUAUAUAUAUAUAUAUAUAUAUAUUAUUUAAACCUAUGCAUAUAUGUGCAACUAACGUAUGAAUGCACAUAUAAGCAUAUUCACAUGUAAUACUUUAACAUGUUAUCGAUAAUUAUACGCAUAUCGUACGUAUUAUAUCUAUAUAUGUAUGUGUGUGUGCGUGUGCGUGCGCAUGCGUGUAUGUAUAUAUAUAUGAUGUACACUCACACAUGUGUAUGCAUAUACAUAUAUACGCAUACAUAACCAUAUAGAAACGCAAUGCAUAUGACGAUUUCUAUUGUAUAUUAUGUGUAUAUAUAUAUAUAUAUAUAUAUAUAUAUAUAUACAUAAUAUAAAAUGGAAAUCGUAUAUAAUAUUAUUCAUAUAUACACACACACAUAAUAUAAAAUGGAAAUUGUAUAUAAUAUAAUAUUAUAUAUAUAUAUAUAUGUAUAUAUAGGUAUAACCGUAAAAACAAAGUAAAUAUAUAUAUAUAUAUAUACACACACGUACGCAAAAUGUGUGCGUAUGUGUGUUUGUGUUUCAUAUAUGAACAUAUAUGUAUGUAUAUAUUUGUAUCCUUUUCUCCUUUUAAUUUAGAAUAAAUCUUAACAGGCCACAUAAUUGGCAGCAAGGUUAGCCUAAGCAUCUUGUUUUGUUCAUCAACCUUUAAAGCUUAAGGUCUUGCGGAUUUUUAAAGUCCUAGAUAUCAUGAUCGUUUGUAGAGCAAGAAUUAAGGCUUUGCUUUUUUUUUUUUCCUUUCUCCAGAACCCAAGCUCUGCCGUGUCUAUAUGUAUUGUGCACAUUUUAUGCGGCGAAAUGGCAAAGUAAUCAUGCUGUGUAUGAAAUGAGUUGCGUUAUUUGUUCCGGCUUUUUUUGCUCUAAAUUCAGAUCUCGAUGAAGUCACCUUCGCCGUUCAACUUUUCAACGUCAAUGAAAUAAACCAUGAAACAGUUGUGAAUGGUGGUGAGUGUGCGGAAUUGUUCGACUGCCGGACAAAUUACCUUGCAUUAUUUCGUCCGGUUCUUUAUAUAAUGAGUUCUUGUGUGUCAAGGUUUUUAUACACCACCCGCUUGAACACCACCAGCAGUCGUGGGCUACCGUUAGUGAAGUUCAUCCGGUUAUAACAUCUGGGCCAGAACAUUCGCUCGGUAAUAAUGUCCUCACUUUUUUCCGCCAUAUUGGGAACCCUGGUCAAUAAAAGGGUGAUGGCUAUUGCCAUUCGUUUUCUGGUCAAAAGAAAUUUACUUUUAUUAGAGAGCAGUCAAAAAUGAAAGCUUGUCUUAUGAUAAUACUCGCAUCACAAAUAAAUGAAUUCUAAUUCUAUGGUGAAAGCCACUUUGGGCUGAACGCCCCCCCCCCAACAUACACACACGCAUAUAAAUGUGUGUGUAUACAUACAUAAACAUUAUAUAUAUAUAUGAGAGAGAGAGAGAGAGAGAGAGAGACAACACAUAAGUAUAUAAACACAUAUAUAAUACAAAUGGGUGGAUCCAUAUGGUCAUGCACGUAUACAAACACACAUACACACGCACACACAUAUAUAUAUACCUGUACAAACACACACAUAUUACAUGUGGUUUGUAUGUAUGUAUAUAUGAAUGUAUGUAUGUACGUAUGUAUGUAUGUAUGUAUGUAUGUAUGUAUGUAUGUAUGUAUGUAUGUAUGUAUGUAUGUAUGUAUGUAUGUAUGUAUGUAUGUAUGUAUGUAUGUAUGUAUGUAUGUAGGCAUGUAUGCAUGAAUGUAUGUAUGUAUGUAUGUGUAUGUAUGUAUGUAUGUAUGUAUGUAUGUAUGUAUAUAUGGACAUGCCACAUUAUAUAUGCGUGCGCGCGACCACAGUUUAAGCAUAACUAAGAAUUUUUUUGUAUAAGAAUAACUAAAAAAAAAAAGAAAAAACCACUUUAUUUCAAUUACUUACAUUCGUAUUGUCACAACUACAGUCCAUUCAGUGUGUGUGUGUAUACAUUUACACAUACGCACACAUAUACGCGCACGCACGCACGCACGCACUGACACGCACAAACGUAUUGGCACACUAAUGCAUUUUAUUUAAUAUUCAUCCACCGCGUGGCAGGCACAUCCACAUGGAAGUUGUGUUUGUACUGUGUAGGGGUCGGGGGGGGGUGUAUAGUAAUCUUCUACUUCGCUUUCUAAAUCUUCCACCCACAUUCACUAACAAACCAACUUAUAUUAUAACCAAUUCUUAUGUGCACGCGCGAGCACACAUACACACACACACACACACACAUAUAUAUAUUUGUUUUCCUGGUUCAGUCUCAUGGCUGGACCUAGAAUCAUUCUGGAGCCAUGCCUCCAGUAAAUUCUAAUCGAUAACAUCGGGCCCAGGAUUUAUUUCAAUCUGUAUCUAUAUUAUUUCGAUCUCAGGUUUUCGACUUGCUAUUUUACGUGUUGGCACAGAAUGGAAAACUAUUUUAGACCGGCAAACAUAAAUACACGCGUACACAUGCAUGCAUUCAUACACACACAUACACACACACACAUACACACACACACACACACAUACAUACAUACACAAGUUUCAGCACAGUUUUCACAGAGGAUCGAGUAGUGACAUAGAAUUGGUUUUGGCUGUCCUGUUACGGUAGCCAAAGCGACAGGCCUCGUUUUUUAAAUAUCUCCGACUACCGCAAAUACGUAUAUAAAAUGCUACCCACUCCACCCGUGUUCGGUCCACACAAGACACGCUUCGCUAUUAGGAUCGGGCCGAGAAUCUGUGUAGUGAUUCGCAAAAAAUUUAACCGUGAUCUGCCUGUCUAUCUAUCUGCCUCUCUCUUUUUAUCUAUCUAUAUAUCGACACACACACACGCGCGCGCAUAUAUAUAUAUAUGUGCGUGUGUGAAUCGGCUGCGCAAUUCAGUAAUAAUGCAGGCGUUGAGUCAUUUUGCAACGCAGUUUUAUUGUUUAACCGAAGUCAACUUCGAAUGGGGAAGACCUUUUAUCAAUGCCAUUCCAGCCUCGCCCAUCUUGUCAAUGUGUUCUUUCAUUUAAUAUGAAGAAAGAAAUGAUUUGAGGGAAAUUUCGUAGCUAUAUCCAGCAGGUGUACUAGAGCCCUUGUAGUCAUAGUGUACUCAGGACCACAUUAUUUUGAAUAUGUCUGAGGGUAUGAUUUGAAGGAGACUUUGGCUGCUGCUUCUUGACUUACCGGUCAAGUGUCCAGUUUUGGGAAAUGGUGUCAAGUUAUAUCGGAGGCUGUGACAUUAAUACCAGUCCCGAAGCUACGAAUAACAUUGUGUGUUGUGUACAUUUCUGCGUGUCUUCGUAGUUUGUUGUUUAGCCUCAGGCCACACCCCACUGAAUAUGACGAAAAGUAUUCCACCCCGUGACCAUCCCAACCUUUUUUAAACCAGGGCUCACUCACAUUAUCCAGUAUGUCUUGCUUUUGUAUAAAGUAUUCUGAUAUGAACUGACAUUUGUCUGCUAUUUCUAGCAGUUCGAACGACCGAGUAAAGUCUCCUUUAUUGCACUUCUCUGUCUUCUUGCCUAGUUUGUAUUCUGUGAAUGCGUUUGCAUAUGUAUGUGUGUCCGUAUGUGUAUAUAUGUAUAUAUAUGUGCUUGAGUAUAUUAUGUGUUUGAGUGUUUAUAUACGAGUUUGUAUGUUUGUAAAUGCGGUUUAGAUAUAGGUGUGUGUUUGAAGAAUGAACCAACCCCAUGGCCAACGCCACGACUACUAAGGCGGCGAACUGGCAGAGCCGUUAGAACGUCGGGGGGGAAAAGAAAAGCAUUUCAUCCAGUUCUGUACCCACUGAUUUCAAAUCCAGCUGUGGUCAGCUUAGCCUUUCAUCCUUGAAGGUUCGAUAAAAUAAAGUACCAGGCCAAUACUAGGUUCCUUCCCCUCAAAACUGUUUGCCCCUUGUGACAAAUAAACAAAAAAGAAAUAUUGCAGUUUUUGUUAGUAAUAUACCCCACACAUGUCAAAGACUGGGUUGGGAUAAAGACAUAUUUAUUGGGAGUCAGUGCGCUUGGGUCUUUUUAUGAAUACGUUUGUGUGUGUGUGUGUGUGUGUGUGGUAUAAUGUAAAAAAAUUCACAAGGAAUAAAGUGAGUAAAAAAGAAAGAGGUAUUAAUAGGAACUCCUGGUGUGAAUGUAUUUUUUUUUUUACUCAUUAUACGAUGACAGUCUCUGUGUGCGUGUGCGUGUGUGCGUGUGAUGUAUGUUGCAGAGAGCGGUUCAGAGAUAUACUGUAGAUGUAUGUAUGUGUAUGCGAUGAGUGCGCAUGUAUGUAUAUGUAUGAAUGACAAAUAAAAAUGGACAGAGAAAAAGCAAUUGUUCUCCCUUUUUCCAUUUUGCUUCCUUUUGCAAAGCUUCGUUUAGUAGCAGUAGUAGCAGCAGCAGUAGUAGUAGUAGUAGUAGUAGUAGUAGUAGUAGUAGUAGUAGUAGUAGUAGUAGUAGUAGUAGUAGUAGUUGUAGUAGUAGUAGUAGUUUAUAGUUGGUUGUAGGGGGGGGGUACGUCUGCGGUGGUGACGGUAAUAAUAGUAAUAGUAGUAGUGAUGGUUGUGUCACAAUAGGAAGAGAGAGAGGGUGGGGGAGCAGUGGAGGUGGUGACGGCAACGACAAAGCCAGCAGAGUCGCAAUGGGUAAGUGCAGGGGAUGUGGUGACGGUGACGGUGACGGAAAUAAUAUCUAUGUAGUAGUAGUAGUGGUGGUGGUGGUGGUGGUGGUGGUGGUGGUGGUGGUGGUGGUGGCUGUGGCGGCGGUUGCUAUGUUUUCUGGCUGUGAUGGUGAAAAGUGUAGCAGCAGUGUGGGAGAGAACGGUGUUGGCUAUAAGUACAGGUCAGUUCUGACCCAGGCCUGGGCUGGCUAAGCUGCCUGGCAUGGUUUGCUUCCGAAGCUGAGAAUCAGAGAAUGGACGGCCCCACCCACCCCCACACACACACACUUCCUUACUAACCCACACACUCUCUCUCCCUCUCUCUCUCUCUCUCUCUCUCUCUCAUACACUCACAUACCUUCAAUCCUUCCUUUUUCCUUGUAUAUAGUUCAUUUCUUCCGCCCCCUCACCCUCUUUCUUUUCUUCUCGGUCAAGGAGGAAGAAGUUGGAUCGGAAAUCUUUUAACAUUCUAUUAAGAAAUCCUGCCACUUUCAAGAGGUUCUGCAUAUAAAACACAUACAUACAUACAUACACACAUACAUACAUAUAUACAUACAUACGUACACACAUACAUACAUAUAUACAUACAUACAUACAUACACACAUACAUACAUAUAUACAUACAUACGUACACACAUACAUACAUACAUACAUACAUACACACAUACAUACAUAUAUACAUACAUACAUACAUACAUACUUAUAAACAUAGAUACAUAUAUGUAUGGAUGUCUAUACAUACACAUUUAUAUAUAUAUAUAUAUACAUACAUUACGCAUAUAUAAAUCAGUAUACAUAUGUGUGUGUGUGUGUGUUUAAAUGUGUGUGUAUACGGUAUACGAUUACUUGUUUCGAUCACUGGCCCGUGGCCAUGCUGGGGCAUCGCCCAGACGAGUUUAGCCGAAGAAAUCAGCCCCGGUACUUGUUUUUAACUCUGCUACUUUGUUUAUCCUUCUCCAUUGCUAAACGGGUGGGUUUCGGGGUUUCAAACCCACCCCACAACGACUAUGAAAAAAAAAGUGGAGGAUGAAUACAAAAUACACUCACACGCAUCUAAAUAUGUAUAACUCUGUGUGUGUGUGUGUGUGUGUGUAUGUAUGCAUGUAUGUAUGUGUGUAUGUAUGUAGACGAUGGGCUUCUGCGCAGUUUCCGCCUACCGAAUUUACUUACAACGCAUUGGUCGGCUCUGAGCUGUAGUAGAAGAUACUUGCCCAAGGUACAGCACAGAGAACCUGAUACUGUACCAUGUGGCAAUCACACCCUUGUUUAUACAAAAAUAUACACAUAGCUAUACAUAUAAACACACACACACACACUCAUACACAUAUACAGACGUAUAUACACGCACGCAUAUGCACAUCUAUUUAGAAAUUUACAUUCUCGUAUAUAUAUCAUAUCUAUCUAAUAUAUUAUAUAUAUAUACAUAUAUACAUACAUAGUUAUACACACAAACACACAUGUAUAUAUAUAUAUAUAUAUAUAUAUAUAUACAUACACAGCUAUACACACAAAUAUUUAUACAUACAUACAGUAAACACUGAUUGUGACACGUUCGUGCCUACCCUCAUGUUAAACAUUCUGGUACACAGAUCGAUCUAUCUAUAAAGUAAACACACAUACACAUAUAUUUGAGAAGAUAUAUACACAAAGAUAUAUAUACAUAUAUGUGUACGUGCUUCUCUCUGUCUCUCCCCGCCUCUCUCUCUCU
rnacentral:lncRNA from 1 species